rnacentral:rRNA from 1 species
GACGAACGCUGGCGGCGUGCUUAACACAUGCCAGUCGAACGGAAAGGCCCUGCUUUUGUGGGGUGCUCGAGUGGCGAACGGGUGAGUAACACGUGAGUAACCUGCCCUUGACUUUGGGAUAACUUCAGGAAACUGGGGCUAAUACCGGAUAGGAGCUCCUGCUGCAUGGUGGGGGUUGGAAAGUUUCGGCGGUUGGGGAUGGACUCGCGGCUUAUCAGCUUGUUGGUGGGGUAGUGGCUUACCAAGGCUUUGACGGGUAGCCGGCCUGAGAGGGUGACCGGCCACAUUGGGACUGAGCUACGGCCCAGACUCCUACGGGAGGCAGCAGUGGGGAAUAUUGCACAAUGGGCGGAAGCAUGAUGCAGCAACGCCGCGUGCGGGAUGACGGCCUUCGGGUUGUAAACCGCUUUCGCCUGUGACGAAGCGUGAGUGACGGUAAUGGGUAAAGAAGCACCGGCUAACUACGUG